rnacentral:lncRNA from 1 species
CUUGCUUAUGUUGCACUUGACUAUGAGCAGGAGUUGGAGACCGCCAAGAGCAGUUCUGCAGUUGAGAAAAGCUAUGAGCUUCCUGAUGGGCAAGUGAUAACUAUUGGUGCUGAGAGGUUCCGCUGCCCUGAAGUCCUUUUCCAGCCAUCUCUAAUUGGAAUGGAAGCAGCCGGAAUCCACGAAACUACCUACAAUUCCAUCAUGAAGUGUGAUGUUGAUAUCAGGAAGGACCUGUACGGAAACAUUGUGCUCAGUGGAGGCUCAACCAUGUUCCCAGGAAUUGCUGACAGGAUGAGCAAGGAAAUUACUGCCCUCGCUCCCAGCAGCAUGAAGAUCAAGGUGGUGGCACCUCCCGAGAGAAAGUACAGUGUCUGGAUUGGAGGAUCA